GAGGUGCUGGAAGAGAUAAAAAAAUGUAUUGGGUAGCAGAGAAAGGACAGUUAGGAAAUCAGGCCUCAUGACUUGCAUCAGAAAUAAAACACUGCAUCAGAGAAGUGCUACAGUGCAUAUUGUUUUUCACUUUCUCUUCUGUUUCACUUUCAUGCCUUUUAUGAGAGCCCAGGUAUUAACUUCUGUUGUAAGUUCCACAUGAGUAGACCACUGAAUUGUAUCAACACACUGGAUGGGAAUUUGUGGGUGGUCCUGUGUUGAGCACACACUGUUCCAUUUGGUCAAAACACAAAAUGAAUGCAGAAGGGUGAGUUCUGCUGGGUGUUUCCCAUUUCUCCAUCCAGAUCCACUUUCCAUUUUGGUUACCUGCUUUGUACCCUGGAGGCUGACCUGCAUAACAGAUUUCAGUGAGUUCUCUUCACCCCGCUGUGCCAACUGGGUUCCGUUAGUGGGAGUCAGCAGCCAAUCAGAGGCAGUGAGAAGAGAGAUAUAUGUUGGAAGAUCUGAAUGAGAAGAAAAUAGAUGAAAGGCUUUUAGAGGAGAAAACGUAGUCUGCAAAUAGUCAAGAAAGGAAUGAUCAAAACAAAGAAGCAAAUCUGUCCAGAUGCUGGAGGAAAGAGCUAAAUAGGAAAGAGCUGUGGCGCAUAUGAUGCUCAAAUCCACCCAUGAACAAAAAAGGAAGGAUUUCUGUUCUCAUAAAGCUUAACUUUUAGUCACCAUGUACAUGGGAGCAACCCGAAGGAGCACAGCAGCAUCCUCACGAGACCAUCGGUCCUGGAAGCUGACUCCUUUCUUAUCCAUCACUGAAAGAAGGCCUACAGGAAAGGAAAGACUACGGAUAUUCUAAAAAUUUAGUCUGAAUAUCAAGAAAAAUGUCAUGGAAAU